GGUAUUUGGAGAAGAGUUCGCUGCUAUUUCCCGUUCUGCAUUAAGGAUUAGAUACUUAUUGCUGCCUUACUUAUAUACCCUCUUCUACCAUUCUCAUGUCAGUGGAAAUACAGUGGUCCGAGGAUUGAUGCAUGAAUUUACAUCAGAUCCUCAGACUCAUGGAAUUGACAGAGCAUUCCUUUGGGGACCAGCUUUAAUGAUUACUCCAGUACUUGAAGAGGGAGCAAGAUCUGUGUAUGUAUAUUUUCCUGAAGCGUCCUGGUUUGACUUUUAUACAG